UACGUAGGGUGCAAGCGUUAAUCGGAAUUACUGGGCGUAAAGCGUGCGCAGGCGGUUUUGUAAGUCUGUCGUGAAAUCCCCGGGCUCAACCUGGGAAUGGCGAUGGUGACUGCAAGGCUAGAGUUUGGCAGAGGGGGGUAGAAUUCCACGUGUAGCAGCGAAAUGCGUAGAUAUGUGGAGGAACACCGAUGGCGAAGGCAGCCCCCUGGGUCAAAACUGACGCUCAUGCACGAAAGCGUGGGGAGCAAACAGG
rnacentral:rRNA from 1 species